GGCCAAUUUCUUCUUGCUUCAAUCUCUGCAGUCCUGGAUGGAAUACACACCAUGACACCUACAAAUUACCCCAAUUAGGCAAGAAGUAAUUUAACCCAGAAGGCCAGGCAAAAAUCUGCUGUGUAUCUUUAACCCCAUCGAGACCCACAAAGCGGGUCAGUGCCGUGUACUGCCUGCUGGCCAUAGUGCUGCCUACUGCUCACUAUUGGUUACCAUACUUAUCGCUGCUAUGGAUACUCUUCCGCCAGCAAUAGCACUGCACCACUGUUCCAAUGUGCAACGCCACCUUCUGGUCCAGAUAAUAAGUGCACUGUCUGUGACAUCCUCUACUUCCUUCACAGAUCACCAUCCUGGUCACCUUACCGCAAAACGAGGACUCACCAGCAUCACCCACAUCCCAGGCAUCACCAAGCCCCACCUCUCCAUACCACCCUUCAUUAUCAGCACCAUCUACUCACAGGAAACCUUCAGCCAAAUACUUUGGGAAGCUGAUGAAGCGGUAGAAACCUCCAUUUCAAUCUCCACAAGAAACAACAAGGAUCAUGAACAACACUCCCUUCGAGAGACUGACUUGGAGGAUGAAGAUUGGCCUGAACUGCUAACUGGAUUUUGGUAUUACAACCCAGCACAUACACCAAGACUAGGUACUGA